CUUCAUCAUGGCGCUAUAUAUAUUUUUAAUUUCUCACAGUUCCUUGCGCCUCGUCAGGGUGUUCUUGCCUAAAACAUCAAUUGUUUAAUUCGUCAGGUUUUAGGGUCAAUUGAUGUACUGCCCGUGAGUUGAUCUGAACCCUGAUUCUCCAUGGAACAACUGAAAUUUAAGACCAAGAAAUGCAGGCAACUCCGUUCGUGCGCCUGAUGGAUUAGACGAAUUAGGAAGGAGACUCUUCGUCGUCGGUGGCUGGCGCAACUCCGGCGAAUGGAUUAUGCCGGAGGAUGUGAGAGAUGAAUGGAACCGCUGUGUCGUGGGUGAGAGGUGGAGCCAAAAGGCCAAAUUACCAUGCAGCCAUCACAACUCGGUACCUGACUUGGUACCUCCGCUCGUUCACGGGGUGGUACCAGCCACUCCGCACCGUACCCAGCUAAAUAGUGGAUCCCACUAGCUGAUUUUCCUGGAUUUUGGUGAAGCCAUGUCGCCCCUUUUCGUACAAAGUUGUUUCCGUGAUACGGCGCUCACCCAGUCUUCGCUAGCGCCACAGAAUCCACCAAGUUCGCAGCCCACAACUUCCCGUUCAGCUCGCAAAAAAUCGGCAAAAACUUGGGUGGGCGCCUGGCGCACCGGCGCCCCGUGCGCUCCCCGUUCCGAUGCCGCAGGCUUCUCAUCGGACGCUCCAGCGCGUGAUGGCUCGUUUCUGAAGAGAUUUUCCUCGCGUCUCGCCCAUCCCCGCGUCGGCUCGCGAUCUCCUCCGUCGGCUCGCCCGCGUCCGCUGCCUGAGCUCUGCACAGACAUGGAUCGAAUCGGGCUCCACGCGCAGAUCGCCGCUGCCGCUUCCCGUCGUCCGCCGCCCCUGAUUGCCGUCGCGUCCUCGAUCUCAUCGGGCUCCGUGUGCAGAUCGACGCCAAGGCCAGGGCUGCCGCGGAGCGCCCGUCCGGAACCAGGGCUGCAGCAGCUCGGCGCCAAGGCCACCGCCGACGCCGAGGUGCUCUUCCAGCGCCGGCGCCGACACUCCAUCUCUUGAUUUAACCAUCAUUAGACCACCGCCCGCUGAAUUGCAUCAGUGUUUCCCUAAUUUUUUUUGUGUAUUCUGUCGACCUGCAGACUGAUAUCGUGCAGUUCAUGUAUUCUGUCGACCUGCAGAUAUUUGAAUCAAGACAAACAAAAUUGCAAAUAUAUUAAGCUGUCUAUAUGUUGUUUAUUUGCUAUUUGAUUGGGCUCAUCGAUGCUGAUCUGCAGUUGCCUGCAGGGAACUUUAGUUGAUGAUAUCCUACUCCGUGCGUUUGUACUGAACAUAUUCUUUUUGUGUGUAUGAGGCCCUUACAUUAUAGAAAGUUGAGACCAAAA